rnacentral:rRNA from 1 species
GAUGAACGCUGGCGGCGUGCUUAACACAUGCAAGUCGAACGAUGAAGCCCAGCUUGCUGGGUGGAUUAGUGGCGAACGGGUGAGUAACACGUGAGUAACCUGCCCUUGACUCUGGGAUAAGCCCGGGAAACUGGGUCUAAUACCGGAUAGGAGCGCCUGUCGCAUGACGGGUGUUGGAAAGAUUUUUCGGUCAUGGAUGGACUCGCGGCCUAUCAGCUUGUUGGUGAGGUAAUGGCUCACCAAGGCGACGACGGGUAGCCGGCCUGAGAGGGUGACCGGCCACACUGGGACUGAGACACGGCCCAGACUCCUACGGGAGGCAGCAGUGGGGAAUAUUGCACAAUGGGCGGAAGCCUGAUGCAGCGACGCCGCGUGAGGGAUGACGGGCCUUCGGGUUGUAAACCUCUUU